rnacentral:rRNA from 1 species
AAGUUGUUGCAGUUAAAAAGCUCGUAGUUGGAUUUCUGGCUUGAGAACGCUGGCCCGCCGGGGUUACCCGUGUGAGUGCCGGCCGUUCUCUGCCAUCCUUCUAGAAAACGCGUCUCGACUUCACUGUCGUGGGCGCGCCAUCUAGAUCAUUUACUUUGAGAAAAUUAGAGUGUUUAAAGCAGGCUUGCGCUAUGAAUACAUUAGCAUGGAAUAAUAAUAUAGGGCUUCGGUUCUAUUUUGUUGGUUUCUAGGACUGAAGUAAUGAUUGAUAGGGAUAGUUGGGGGUGCUAGUAUUCAGCGGCCAGAGGUGAAAUUCUUGGAUUCGCUGAAGACUAACUUAUGCGAAAGCAUUCACCAAGGAUGUCUUCUUUAAUCAAGAACGAAAGUUGGGGGAUCGAAGACGAUCAGAUACCGUCGUAGUCUCAACCAUAAACUAUGCCGACUAGGGAUUGGUGAACGUUGCAUUUUCGACUUCAUCAGCACCUUAUGAGAAAUCAAAGUUUUUGGGUUCCGGGGGGAGUAUGGUCGCAAGGCUGAAACUUAAAGGAAUUGACGGAAGGGCACCACCAGGAAUGGAGCCUGCGGCUUAAUUUGACUCAACACGGGGAAACUUACCAGGUCCAGACAUAGUGAGGAUUGACAGAUUGAAGAUCUUUCUUGAUUCUAUGGGUGGUGGUGCAUGGCCGUUCUUAGUUGGUGGAGUGAUUUGUCUGGUUAAUUCCGUUAACGAACGAGACCUCGACCUGCUAAAUAGUGUGGCGAUUCCCCCGGGAAUCGUGCAAACUUCUUAGAGGGACUAUCGGUGUGUAGCCGGUGGAAGUUCGAGGCAAUAACAGGUCUGUGAUGCCCUUCGAUGUUCUGGGCCGCACGCGCGCUACACUGACACGUUCAGCGAGUUUACAACCUUGGCCGAGAGGUCCGGGUAAUCUUUGAAAACGUGUCGUGCUGGGGAUAGAUCAUUGCAAUUAUUGAUCUUCAACGAGGAAUUCCUAGUAAACGCGAGUCAUCAGCUCGCAUUGAUUACGUCCCUGCCCUUUGUACACACCGCCCGUCGCUACUACCGAUUGGAUGGCUUAGUGAGUACCACGGAUCGUCGCGCUUCGUAGGGUUUCCUGCAUUGCGUGCUGAAAAGUGGUUCAAACUUGAUCAUCUAGAGGAAGUAAAAGUCGUAACAA